GUGUGUUACAAAACUGGACCUUAUUCUCUACAACGCUCAGUUGAAAUGGUAGAGCGGCAGCUCGGCGUUGAGCGGGUGCGACAUCACCGUCAGCACGUCGGUCACCGACAGCAUCGAGCUUAUCGCCGCCUUCAGAACCUCCCGCGAGCAUCCAGGCUUCACCAUCGUCCUCACCUUGCUGAGACAGUCUUUCAGUAUCUCAAUGUCGC
rnacentral:misc_RNA from 1 species